rnacentral:rRNA from 1 species
UACGUAGGGUGCAAGCGUUAAUCGGAAUUACUGGGCGUAAAGGGAGCGUAGGCGGACAUUUAAGUCAGGGGUGAAAUCCCAGAGCUCAACUCUGGAACUGCCUCUGAUACUGGGUAUCUUGAGUAUGGAAGAGGUGAGUGGAAUUGCGAGUGUAGAGGUGAAAUUCGUAGAUAUUCGCAGGAACACCAGUGGCGAAGGCGGCUCACUGGUCCAUAACUGACGCUGAGGUGCGAAAGCGUGGGGAGCAAACAGG